rnacentral:rRNA from 1 species
UCGAAAGACCUGUCCCAGUUCGGACUGGAGUCUGCAACCCGACUCCACGAAGUUGGAUUCGCUAGUAAUCGCGCAUCAGCCAUGGCGCGGUGAAUACGUUCCCGGGCCUUGUACACACCGCCCGUCAAGCCAUGGGAGCCGGGGGCGCCUGAAGUCCGGGACCGCGAGGACCGGCCUAGGGCGAAACUGGUAACUGGGGCUAAGUCGUAACAAGGUAUC